rnacentral:rRNA from 1 species
GACGAACGCUGGCGGCGUGCUUAACACAUGCAAGUCGAACGGAAAGGCCCUGCUUGCAGGGUGCUCGAGUGGCGAACGGGUGAGUAACACGUGGGUGAUCUGCCCCUUAUUUUGGGAUAAGCCUGGUAAACUGGGUCUAAUACUGGAUAGGACCAUGCUGUAGGUGGUGUGGUGGAAAGAGUAGUUUCGGUAAGGGAUGAGCUCGCGGCCUAUCAGCUUGUUGUUGGGGUAAUGGCCUACCAAGGCGUCGACGGGUAGCCGGCCUGAGAGGGUGGACGGCCACAUUGGGACUGAGAUACGGCCCAGAAUCCUACGGGAGGCAGCAGUGGGGAAUAGUGUACAAUGGGCGCAAGCCUGAUGCAGCGACGCCGCGUGGGGGAUGAAGGCCUUCGGGUUGUAAACUCCUUUCAGCCAUGACGAAGCGCUUGUGGUGACGGUAGUGGUAGAAGAAGCACCGGCUAACUACGUG